UCGUAUCUAGGGUGUCCACUGUAUUUAAGAUGAGAUGUAGAAUUUAGAUGUACUUCUACUUAAUUGCAUCUUUUAGUAGGUUUUCCACCUCUGUUAAAUUAUUAGGUGUGACUUUGUGUGCCUGUACAGUGUAUGUAUGUGAAAUGGAACUAAAAUGUUCUUUAGAAGUACCAUUUCUCUUUUUUCUUUUACCAAAAAAACAAACAAACAAACAAAAAACUGCACUGACUGGAAUUACAAAAUCAUCUGACAUCCAUUAGAAAAGACACUGUGAGAGAACAGUGUAUAUGUUUGUAUUUGUAAUGUGAUUUCCAUUGUUGGAAAACUUGAGGAGCCACAAGGUUCUCGAUACACUUUUCUGAAAGAACGAAAGAAAAAAAAAACCUGACCCAUUUAAAAGCAGGCCAGUCAACCUCACUUCCUUCAGAAUUUGAAGACAUUUCUCAGUAGAGAAGAAACAACAUAUUUCUGGUGAACCACUUGUUCAACAGUGUUAAGACUAUUCCCCCGAAGAUCUGAAUAUGACAAGACCUGCAGAAUUGAUCCUCCACCUCAUAUUGUUACUGAAGAAUACUGGUGAGUUGAGUUUUAUUACAGGUAUACCUGAAAUAGGCACUGGGUCAUUACAUGAAGAUUACAGAAAUGUCAUUUACCAAUGAUGUUUCAGAACAUUUUAACUCAGCAUAGAAAUCAUAUAAACACGUGUUUAUUCUUUCUUUCUAUAUGUUAGUGGUGAUGACUGAUUUGUCACUGUCGGUCCAUCAGGAGACACAGUUCAUAUCAGCACAUGUUGGAGAAAGUAUCUCUUUGCGAUGCCUCCCUGUGUAUGGAGUUGUAUCAUGGUUUCAUUGGUAUAAAGUAUUUCCAGGACAAAGGCCGAAGCGCAUCUUAACUUUCUACAAGUUCACAAGCAAGCUUGAAUUUUUUGACGAGUUUGCGGAUGACCCGCGCUUCUCUUUGGACACCGAAGGUAUCACAUUUCACCUGAAGAUUGGAGAUGUUAAUUUUUUUGAUUCAGCCACUUACUACUGUGCAAAUAGCUUUGUAGAAAGAGUGCAAUUUGCAGAGGGUACCACUGUGAGUGUGGUAGGGUCAGGUAUCAACAUCCCAGCUGUGGUCCCGCAGAUGGUGUCUAAGAGCAUCCAGACCAAAGUGACAGCAAGUCUGAAUUGUACGGUACACACUGGGAGCUGUGAGGGAGAGAACUGUUUUUACUGGUUCCAAAAUCCAGGAGAACGUCACCAGGGACUCAUUUAUACCUAG